rnacentral:lncRNA from 1 species
UCAUUCCUGAAAGAUGUAUUCACUGUGUAUACAACUCUACAGUUACUGUCUGUCAAACUUUGAACAUUUUGUUACACUAUACUCUGGUUUUUAUAGUUGACGUCCAAAAAUCACUAACAUUCUAAUAAUUGUUCCUCUGUAGGUAAUGUCUUUCUACUAUGGCUGCUUCUACAGGAAUCAUCUUGUCUUUGGUAUUAAACAGUUCACUAAGUACAAAACAGGCUCUUCUUAUUCUCUGCCUGAAGCAUGACUUAGCAUAGAACACAGUUCCUGGUGCCCUGAAACUUAUGGAUGGUCUGCAUUUCAUGAAAGACGUUGUAAAUCAUGACCACUGGAGGCGAACAUCCACCCACUGAAGUUGUGGGCUUCUGCUACUGCUCAGCAGUUGGUUCUCCGAGUGUCAGAAACAGUUAGGCCACUCUGGAGAGAAAGAAGGUGCUAGAGUGAAAUAUAAGGAAAAUCCGAGAUUUGGGGGACCAUCUUCCUAAAAGGAAUAAAAUGUAUGGGGAGGGAUCAAGACACAGAAGAGAUAGAAAUUCUAGAGAGCAAAUGUUAGUGAAUUUGCGAAUCGAUAUUUUUUCAGAAUAAAAAUAA